GUUUCGUUGUUUACAAUACAACAUCUUCAGAGCAAUCUAAAUGAAUUUACAGGGUAUGUAUUUUGUAAAUAUAUAUACCAUACCCUGUAAAUUCAUUUAGAUUGCUCUGAAGAUGUUGUAUUGUAAACAACGAAACG